UUGUUGAAAACUUGGAUCCCGUUACUAUAUCUCGAUGAUUUUACUUGAUUUUUGCAGGAUUAAUGACUUUUGACGACCAACAAAUGGCAUUGGGUUGCGAGUACGUACACAUUUUCUCCUCUUCUAAGGUGAAAUGGACAGGAUUUGAGCAAUAGAGGUUAGAUCCUGUUUUUCUUAUGCCUUUAUCUUUCCUUCAUCAGUAAGUUUAUCUUCUAACUUGAUCGUUUCCUUUUUCACUGUUCAGAGAUUUUUCUUUUUUUUUUCAUCUGUUUUGUUGUCUAUUGACAAAGAUAUUAUGUCUGCGUUAUCAUUGAUAAUAGAGUUUAUAAAGUCAAGGGUCAGACGGUAAAAUAAUUUGUUUAUUUAAAAUGUUCAAGCAUCUACCAUUGAGGGAGUAAAAUCCUUGGUUUAUUUACAAUUUUUUUUAUUUAUUACUUUAGUUCAACUAUUCUUCUAUUAAAAGCCUAUAGCUUUGUAUGGAGGAAAUCUGAAAAGUCCUGUAUACUAAUGCCCUUUCAGAAAUAUCUAUUGUAUGUUUGUAGCGGUGAAGACACGUGUUGUUUCAUUUACUCAUGUCGAACCUAAUUUCUCCUCUCUUUCUCUCAUUGAACCUUCUCAAUUAAAUUCCUUGAUCUUCUUUUCUUUUUUUAUUCCUCCCUUUCUCAUGUACAUUUAGGGACUGUGUUCGUCAUUAUCAAAUAUCAACCUUCCUUUCACAAGGAAAGAUAUGAUAUGGACCUUUGUGCAUGUCUACUCUAAUAAAUGAUUUUGCUCUGUUAAUAAAUGAUUGGGCUUUUAAAUCUACCAAAUUGAACUUUUUUCCCUCAACAUUUUGCAGGCUGAAUACAGAUCCAACAAAUGUAUUACCUGUUUUUUCUUGGAAGCAACAUUUAAAUAUAAACAUCAUCAACAAUGAAGAUGUGAAACUAAAAUUUGCUUACUCUUUUUUGGUGUUUAUGAAGGAGAAAGAACUCAACUUUACAUACAGCAACAUGCAAUUUUUUUCCCAAGGUCUUUUAACGUGUCGCACCAACUUUCCUGAACAUUAUGUAUUCAAGCUUUCUGGGCAUAAUUUACUGAUGACUUAAACACUUGG